UGAAGCUCGAACAAGCUUCGAAGUGUAAAAUAAAGUGUUUCUCCUAUCCGAGAUAAACCAUAUUACAUGGCGACCGUGACGUGGAGCCUGAAUACAAAAAAGUGCAGUGGUGGAAAUUUUAAAGUCCCAUAAAAAAUCGGACUUGGACGCAAAAACAAAAACAUGUGAACAAAUUCUAAGUCCCAUAAAAACGUGGACUUAGUCGAAUUUGGAAAAUUUGGUGAAAAAAAAAAGGACUCAGACGGCAGUGUAAAAAAAAAAGUGUUUUAGUUGAAGUGAGUGAGCGUAAUAGGAGUGAGUGCCAUAACGAUCAUAGAAACAAAAAAAAAGGACAGCUACAGUCCAGCAAAAGUGAGAGAUUUAAUCGUGAGUUGGAUUAUUACUUCGGACACCAACAAAUACCGCCUUACCGCGGGACAGCAGUCACCGCCGUAGCGGAACAGUGAAACAAAAAAUAAUAAUAAAAAAAAAAAGGACAACAUCGUAGCGGCGAACGAGUACAUACAACUACCUAGCACCACGUAGCGGCUUCUACCCA